AUUUUGUGUGCGUCAGACUUAUAUAACCGUGUCUUGAUUUCGACGAAAUGUAGCUACUUUAGUUACUGUCUAAGCUACGCAAAAAAUAGUGUCCACUAUUUCUAGCAAACAAUCAGGUUACUCGGAAAGCAAUGAACGAACCAUGGGACAGCCCGGUAAAGUAAACAUCAGAUAUUACUCUGUUGUACACUGUCCGGUAUAUUCUACUUACUACGAUUUCGCUAUUGUAUCUAAUAUGGCAACUGUGUCGCACGAUAAUGCAAUAUCAGAAAUCAUUGAAGAAGCACGUGAGAUGAUUGCGUUUAUUUAACUGCGGUAAACACAACGGCGUCAAGACGAAUCGUCAAUCGGUCUACACACAGCCAGCCAGCCAGCCAGUCAGUCAGUCAGUCAGCCAGCCAGCCAGGCAGGCAGGCAGGCAGACAACAGGCGAAUUGGCGUCCCUCCUUCUAAUUGGAGUUGAUUAGAAAAUAAGUGUAAGAUCAAACUAUGACGGAUACGACUGAGCCAUAUUUACUAUAACAGGUCGUCUGCCAGUAAAAGCACUUUUGAUAAAAUGCGUCUAACAAAUGACGUCAAGGGUCUUUCACAGUGAGAGGAUCGUUAAGCCACACUCUCCAAUAGAACAGCUAUAGUUUGAAAGGCACAAUCAAGUAGGUAAAGGGCAACGAUAUGCCAGUGCUGGUCGUACUAACGAAGUCAUCAGAUAAACCCUUCGAGCGUUAGAAGAGCAGAAGAUGAACGCAUAUAUUGUGUUUCAGUGGAGCUACGACAGUUCACUACCGUCCCUAAUGGACGCUCUCACAAGGUGUUACGCCGACGCCACUUUCAUCGUCGUCCCAUCGGUCGCAAACGUAUAGAGCUGCUGCGUUUAUCGCUGGCAACGCGCUCCGUCCGCCUACGAAUUGCAUAGCGCUAUUAUCGUCACGUCAAUCACCACCAUUUCGGCAGCGUCACUGCAUUGCUACUGUCUACAGUGAGACAAAUCGUGUAAGAGAAGCAAGUCACAAUCCGCCUUAAUUCCGUCUGUGCUACCACCAUAUGUCUUCCGCCGCGCUCCAGCCCCGUCUGAUGUCUCCGUCGCUAGUGGCAAGAGCAGUCUGUUAUAACAACCGCUGUCAGCAUCAGCGCCUCUGCCGCGCCGUCGCUGCCUGAAGGAGAAAAACAAAAUUGCCGCAAGGAUCGCAGCCGCCUUAAACGAACGAUGUCUUGACGUCGACAACAGUAACAGUAGCGUUUUUGACAUUCAUCACCCUCCUCACUGUUGUUGACCGUCCUCAACGGUUCGUUGAUGCACAGCCGAAAUGAAAUUGCGACGUGCAGUCUCGCAAGACGGAAAGCCACAGCCUUCCACCAGGAAAGGACUGCACACGUAUUUACUUAGAUGCACGAG